rnacentral:tRNA from 1 species
AGACGCGCUAGCUUCAGGUGUUAGUGUCUUAACGGACGUGAGGGUUCAAGUCCCUCUCUUCGCACCAAAAUCACAUGUUUCAUAUCG